UUUGGCUUGCACUGUUUGAAUCGGCGGAAGAGAGAGGUGGGCAGAGACGGGGACGAGUAGGUCGAAGAGGAUGGCCUCCGAUGUGGCCGCCGACGAGCCUCCCGCCAUCGGCAAGAUCCACGAGGUCUGCGCGGCCUACGAGCUGCCCGCCAUCGGCACCGUUCAGGAGCUCUACGCAGGGUCCCUGAUCUCUGCGCCGCCGACGCGCUGCACGAGCAAGGAACUCACCUUGUCUCCCUCACGCUAUUUGAUUCCGCUCAGUUCAAUUUGGUGACACGCUUACACGGUAGAUUUUGUUGGCUUGGCUCGAGGAAUGGCGGGCGUUAGCUUGGGGACGAUGGGGUGGGGCAGCGAGUGGGAUCUGGACUUGAUUCAGACAGAAUUCUGAGUCUGAAUUUUGUUUGUUAUACAGACCCAAUUUUUUCAGACUGAAUUUGUUGUUUGUUUAGAUUGAAAUGGUUUGAUUUAGACUGAAAUUCUACCCGUGCACUGAAAAACGGCUUGAGGAAUUGUUUGAUUCAGUAUGAAAUUCUCAAUGGUCAUUCACACGCUUUGUAUUCAGACUGAAUUUGUUUUGAUUCAGACGUGCAAAACCAGGGGCCGCACAAUUCUGAUUCUAGGUGCUUCUGUAUUCCUUUUGUUGUUUGUUUUGUAGCAACUAGCAAAAUUAUUCUGUUGCUUAUUCUUCUGCAGGACCUGCUUUCAAAUUUUGUACAAGUACCUGUUGCUGUCUAAAUAUGUAUGUGCUCAUCAAGAUCUGAUUCAGUUGCAGCGGCGAUGAUAGAAGAGCAUGACUGAUUUUGUUCAUUCACACGGAACCGGAGUAUGUUGUAUUAGAAGGUGCAACCGUUCGAUCCAUUUCGAUGCAACCGAUCAGAAGUCUAGUGUAAUAAGGCCCUUACUGUAGCUUCAUUGGCUGUAUUAUUAUCGAAGCAACUCAAGGACCUGAGGAGGAAAUGAGUUGGGGUAAAACAUCGGCACAAAACUCGCUCCAUUGUUUUGCAUUCCAAAGAGACUGGGGUCAAACAAUGCUCCAGGAUAUUGGGAUUGUCCAGGCUGCAAAUAUAAAUACAUUACCAACCGCCAAAUUCUUUGUCCCAUCAAGAAAGAAGCAAGCAAAAGCAUGCUGAUUUUCGGAUGGGGUUCAGAAGAAGCAAAUCACACAGAAGGAUCUUGAGAGGAAGAUUCAGAAAACUCACCCUGGUGUAUGACAGGAACAAUAACUAGCAUGAACCUGGAGGAGUAAGAAGCAGCGACAUCUGGGUUUGCAAUGGCCAAAGAACUCAACAAUUCAUAGUUGGGUCACUUAUUUCUCCCCAGCUCGGUGACUUGGUCAACUGCGCACUUCAGAAGAAUGAGUACUUCUGAAUGUUAAAGCCAAUGUGGGCUAGCAAACUGUAGAGAUAAUUGAUUUGUUUCCAUGUCUACCUUACAGUAUUCAGACUUGGGAGAGAAGGUGCCUCAUGGUAGAAGCUUGACAUAGGUGUGGCCUUGAAUGCCAAGAUUUUUAUGAGUAGCCUCAGCCUUCUGUUCCCUACAGAUUCAGGAUUCAAAAGAUCAAUGGGAGUUUGUUUCACACAGUACAAGAGCAAUGUACUGAUGCAUUUUAACUGUCGUUGUGUGUUUUAACAGAAGAAUACUUUCUGAUGUUUUAGUGACCAAGUGUUACUGAUCUUGAGGUGUGUUAUUGAUCUCUGUUUCUAUAUAGAUGGUGCUUUUUUGUACUUUCUGAAGAACAAUUCCAUGCAAGACACCAUCAAAAAGCCUGCUACUGCAGAUGCUUCCUCGCGGAAUCACAGCUUGAUGGAGCUUGCUGCACCUCUGGAACAAGCAGCCGCUUACAAAGAGAAGCUUGAAGGCUCAAACAGAUGUACAUAACGAAAUUCAGAGUUCCAACAGUGCAUAUGUGCAAGAGCGUAGUUCACUUGGAAUUUGCUCGUGGUGGAGACGUUCCACCCACAAAAAAAAGGUGAAGACGUCCUGAAACUUCAUGAGGCAUGGGCGAUACAGAUAGGGCGGAGUCAGAACCAUGUGCAAGAUAGAGACACUAUCAAUCAUCGGUGAAUCCGGUCCAGGAACUCAAAUGUUGGCGUCCAUGGCGCAAGGAGGUGCUUUUCGGAGCAAGCAACCUAGCAAGUGCAUCAGUGAUCAUUGUCAAUUUGGCUAGAAGUAUGUACAUUUCCCUACUACAAUUCCUUCAAACAUGCUGACACAUAUAUGCUUACGGACAUGUGAUUUUUUCUCCGUUGCAACGCACGGGCUCUUUUGCUAGUCAAACUAGAGAACGAACAGGGGUGAUCGAGAGGGCUACAAACAGGGUGACGUCGCCGAUGAAGAGAGUUGUAGAUCCGAAAAUCAAACCUAGAACCACACGAACGAAGACGUACACAAACUGGAUCCAAAUAGAUCCACCCAAGACCAGCACCGACCGGAUCCCAUGAGAUCCGACGGAGACACAGCUCCACACAUCCUCCGACAACGCUAUUUGCACCAUCGGGGCGGGAAUAGGACGUGGGAGACAUUAUUGCCACCGAGGGACAUCGCCACGGCCACAUAGCCCCAACCAAGACGUUCAACCUAGCAGAAAUGAGAACGGAGUCCCUCCCGCCGGCGGGGGCUGAGAUCCUCCGCACCUCCACAGCCCAAAGGCCAUCGGAGGUGGGGCGGAUCGGAGGCCGCGCCGACGGGAGGA